rnacentral:rRNA from 1 species
UACGUAGGGGGCGAGCGUUGUCCGGAUUCAUUGGGCGUAAAGCGCGCGUAGGCGGCUCCGCAAGUCGGCCGUGAAAUCUCCGGGCUCAACUCGGAGGGGUCGGGCGAGACUGCGAGGCUCGAGGUGGGCAGAGGGCAGUGGAAUUCCGGGUGUAGUGGUGGAAUGCGUAGAGAUCCGGAGGAACACCAGUGGCGAAGGCGGCUGCCUGGGCCUGGCCUGACGCUGAGACGCGAAAGCGUGGGGAGCGAACAGG